rnacentral:rRNA from 1 species
AAUCAACGCUGGCGGCGUGCCUCAGACAUGCAAGUCGAACGCGAAAGUUUCCUUCGGGGAACAAGUAGAGUGGCGCACGGGUGAGUAACACGUAGGUAAUCUACCUUUGGAUGGGGAAUAACAAUCGGAAACGGUUGCUAAUACCGCAUAAUGCAGCGGCACCUAAUGGUGACAGUUGUUAAAGCGGGGGAUCGAAAGACCUCGCGUCUGAAGAGGAGCCUGCGGCGGAUUAGCCAGUUGGUAAGGUAAUGGCUUACCAAGGCUACGAUCCGUAACCGGCCUGAGAGGGCGGUCGGUCACACUGACACUGACAUACGGGUCAGACUCCUACGGGAGGCAGCAGUCGGGAAUUUUGGGCAGUGGGCGAAAGCCUGACCCAGCAACGCCGCGUGAAGGAUGAAAUCCCUCGGGAUGUAAACUUCGC